UGCAAGUCGAACGGCACCCCUCUCCGGAGGGAAGCGAGUGGCGAACGGCUGAGUAACACGUGGAGAACCUCGCCCCCUCCCCCGGGAUAGCCGCCCGAAAGGACGGGUAAUACCGGAUACCCCCGGGCGCCGCAUGGCGCCCGGGCUAAAGCCCCGACGGGAGGGGAUGGCUCCGCGGCCCAUCAGGUAGACGGCGGGGUGACGGCCCACCGUGCCGACAACGGGUAGCCGGGUUGAGAGACCGACCGGCCAGAUUGGGACUGAGACACGGCCCAGACUCCUACGGGAGGCAGCAUG
rnacentral:rRNA from 1 species